UUUUAUGGAGAGUUUGAUCCUGGCUCAGGACGAACGCUGGCGGCGUGCCUAAUACAUGCAAGUCGAGCGGACUAAUGGGAGCUUGCUCCCGUUAGUUAGCGGCGGACGGGUGAGUAA
rnacentral:rRNA from 1 species